UACGAAGGGGGCUAGCGUUGCUCCGGAAUCACUGGGCGUAAAGGGUGCGUAGGCGGGUCUUUAAGUCAGGGGUGAAAUCCUGGAGCUCAACUCCAGAACUGCCUUUGAUACUGAGGAUCUUGAGUUCGGGAGAGGUGAGUGGAACUGCGAGUGUAGAGGUGAAAUUCGUAGAUAUUCGCAAGAACACCAGUGGCGAAGGCGGCUCACUGGCCCGAUACUGACGCUGAGGCACGAAAGCGUGGGAGCAAACAGG
rnacentral:rRNA from 1 species